rnacentral:lncRNA from 1 species
AUGACUGAGCCUGGGAAAGUUGACGUUGACGCCAACGUUGCCCUAGGUCUAUCAAGUGAAGUUUUGGGGCUCUGGCACCAUAUGGCAUCACCUCCCUCCAACUGGCUGGAAGCAAAGCAGUGUAAGCUGAGGGGACACAACCCCUCACACUGGGUCAGGUGAUGCAGAGUUCAAAGGAGGAACCUGCCCUUUCUCUGCCACGGCUGCUGCCCCACAGG